rnacentral:lncRNA from 1 species
AGCUAAGAACAUCUCAAACAAAGUCUAGACGACAAAGAUACAUGCGAGAAAAGUCCGAAGCAAGUGGCACGGCCCACGAGAUGCAUUGGGUCGGUGAAAAUCGACAGUGACACUGCUAGGCUCGGCGGACUCACGCACCUCAUCUAUAUGGAGCAUAUGGGUGUCUACAUAGGCAUCUACAAUUCACAUGUAGACACUACAUCCUUCUAGGCGAGGCAUCGUGCGUCCG